ACGUGUAACUACCAGUUUCAAAUAUUCUAGACUGUUCGGAAAGUAAUUUCGUUUUUUCACACGAGUGUCGCUCUAGUCGAACGUUUGCAGCCAACUUCAUUCUAAACGGCGUUGUAUCGUAUAUUUUGAGAGUUGGCAUUUCGUGGUUUAUUUGUAAGAAAAAUUCGUUCGAUUCUGUGCGAUUGUGUUUUUCAUGCGUGAUAACAAAGAUACAAGAGUGAAACAAGCAUAUUUUACUUUUUUAUUAACGAAAAGGGGCUUGAACACGAUCUUUAACACGGGUGCAAUUAUGUUCGUGUCAAAUCGUCUCGCGGCAGGGUGUGCCGGAGGAACAGGAGCAACAGAGCUCGUGUUAUAUUGGAGAAGGUUAUUCCUGGCCUUUAUAGUGGAACAGCCGUAUAUGGGUGGAUUCAUUCGCGCACGCAGAAUCCUCCGCUCGAAUCAAACCACCGGAUUGGCCGGUGAUGGGCAAAAUUUAAUCAAAUUACGAAUAAAGUUGUUUCCAUAUUUUAUUAUUCAAAAUAUAAUAAUUGUAAUGGCUAACGGCCGAGGUGAACAACUCUGUAAUAGCUAGCAGUAAAUGUCAUUCGAACGUUUUAAUAAGUAAUUACUUAAAGAGUAACUUUAUUCGAAAUUUUUAAACUUGCUUUUUCAACGGGUUAACGCCCAACUCUGCCAACUUGGACAGUGACGGGGAAAUUUUUAACAGUUACGAAUAAAGUUAUUUCGGUAAUUUGUCGUUCACAAAUAUAAUAAUUGUAAACGGCCAACGUUUAUUAUGAACAGUUCUAUAAUAGCUGGUAAUAAAUGUUCGUUCAUUCGAACGUUUUUAAUAAGUA